rnacentral:snRNA from 1 species
AUUGCUUCUUGGCCUUUAGGCUAAGACCAAGUGUA